rnacentral:tRNA from 1 species
GGGGAUAUGGCGGAAUGGUAGACGCUACGGACUCAAAAAAUCCGUUGGUUUUUAACCGUGAGGGUUCGAGCCCCUCUAUCCCCA